UGGGGAAUAUUGCACAAUGGGGGAAACCCUGAUGCAGCGACGCCGCGUGAAGGAAGAAGUAUUUCGGUAUGUAAAGCUCUAUCAGCAGGGAAGAAAGUGACGGUACCUGACUAAGAAGCCCCGGCUAACUACGUGCCAGCAGCCGCGGUAAUACGUAGGGGGCAAGCGUUAUCCGGAUUUACUGGGUGUAAAGGGAGCGUAGACGGCUGUGCAAGUCUGAAGUGAAAGGCAUGGGCUCAACCCCUGGACUGCAUUGGAAACUGUUGGUCUUGAGUACCGGAGGGGUAAGCGGAAUUCCUAGUGUAGCGGUGAAAUGCGUAGAUAUUAGGAGGAACACCAGUGGCGAAGGCGGCUUACUGGACGGUAACUGACGUUGAGGCUCGAAAGCGUGGGGAGCAAACAGGAUUAGAUACCC
rnacentral:rRNA from 1 species